UUCCAAACACAUUAUUAGUAUUUGUUAAGUGAGGAAGAGAUUGUCUACUUGCUACGAUUGCCAAAGAUCUAACUUUACUUAAUUAUUUGAUAAUAAAAAUUCAAAACUUAAUUAAUGAUUUAAGUGAUCCAACAAAAGAUGAAAACAAACGCAUUAUAUUUUUCCCUCAAGUAAAGUCUAACAUAAAUAGUAGUAAUUAACAUUUUGGAGUAAACUAAAUAAGUACAACGUGUUCCACGCUAAUAUUUUAAAAAGAGAUUCACUCCCUCGAAGCAAUAAACAGAAACGUCUUCAUAAAAAUUUAAGGAAAAAAAUAAAAAUAAACAGUAAUUUUCAUUGGUAGAAAAGAAAAAAAAAAAAAACUCUUUCCGGUGCAAC
rnacentral:lncRNA from 1 species